rnacentral:rRNA from 1 species
AUGGUUUGCUUUAAGCGCGGAUGGCAUUUAUCCUUUCAGGGAGCAGAGCACAGCACCUGGCCCGUGACUCUAUGUAUGUAUAACCUUCCUCCUUGGAUGUGCAUGAAGCGGAAGUUCAUUAUGAUGCCAGUUCUCAUCCAAGGCCCUAAGCAACCCGGCAACGACAUUGAUGUGUACCUAAGGCCAUUAGUUGAAGAACUUUUACAGCUGUGGAAUGGAAACGGUGUACGUACGUGGGAUGAGCACAAACAGGAGGAAUUUAACCUAAAGGCGUUGCUGUUCGUGACCAUCAACGAUUGGCCCGCUCUCAGUAACCUUUCAGGACAGAGAAACAAGGGAUACCACGCAUGCACGCACUGUUUACUUGACACCGAUAGUAUAUACCUGGCAAGCUGCAGGAAGAAUGUGUACCUGGGCCAUCGUCGAUUUCUUUCGACCAACCAUCAAUGUCGAAAGAAAGGCAAGCAUUUCAAAGGCGAGGCAGAUCACCGGAAGAAGCCCGCCAUGCGUACCGGUCAUCACGUACUUGCUAUGGUCAAUGAUUUACACGUAAUCUUUGGAAAGGGUCCCGGCGCACUAGCUGUUCCGAGUGACGCUGGGGGACACGCACCCAUGUGGAAGAAGAAAUCUAUAUUUUGGGACCUACCCUACUGGAAAGACCUAGAGGUCCGCUCUUCGAUCGACGUGAUGCACGUGACGAAGAACCUUUGCGUGAAUUUGCUAGGCUUCUUGGGCGUGUAUGGGAAGAUAAAAGAUACAACUGAGGCACGGGAGGGCCUACAACAUUUGCACGAAAAAGACGGCAUGCCUCCAAAGCAGUAUGAAGGUCCUGCCAGCUAUGCUCUUACCAAAGAAGAGAAGGAAAUCUUCUUUGAAUGCCUGCUUAGUAUGAAGGUCCCGACUGGCUUCUCGACUAAUAUAAAAGGAAUAAUAAAUAUGGCAGAGAAAAAGUUUCAGAACCUAAAGUCUCCUGACUGCCACGUGAUUAUGAUGCAACUGCUUCCCGUUGCAUUGAGGGGGCUUCUACCGGAAAACGUCCGAUUAGCCAUUGUGAAGCUAUGUGCAUUCCUCAAUGCAAUCUCUCAGAAGGUGAUCGAUCCAGAAAUUAUACCAAGGCUAAGGAGUGAUGUGGUGCAAUGUCUUGUCAGUUUCGAGCUGGUGUUCCCACCAUCCUUCUUCAAUAUCAUGACGCACGUCCUAGUUCAUCUAGUUGACGAGAUUGUCAUUCCGGGCCCCGUAUUUCUACACAAUAUGUACCCCUUUGAGAGGUUCAUGGGAGUCCUAAAGAAAUAUGUCUGUAACCGCGCUAGGCUAGAAGGAAGCAUCUCCAUGGGCCAUCAAACAGAGGAUGUCAUCGGGUUUUGUGUUGACUUCAUUCCUGGCCUUAAGAAGAUAGGUCUCCCUAAAUCGCGGUAUGAGGGGAGACUGACUGGAAAAGGCACGCUUGGAAGGGACUCAAUAAUAUGCAGGGACGGAUAUUCUUGGUCUCAAGCACACUACACAGUUCUAUAG